AGAGUUUGAUCCUGGCUCAGGAUGAACGCUGGCGGCGUGCCUAAUACAUGCAAGUCGAGCGAACUGAUUAGAAGCUUGCUUCUAUGACGUUAGCGGCGGACGGGUGAGUAACACGUGGGCAACCUGCCUGUAAGACUGGGAUAACUUCGGGAAACCGAAGCUAAUACCGGAUAGGAUCUUCUCCUUCAUGGGAGAUGAUUGAAAGAUGGUUUCGGCUAUCACUUACAGAUGGGCCCGCGGUGCAUUAGCUAGUUGGUGAGGUAACGGCUCACCAAGGCAACGAUGCAUAGCCGACCUGAGAGGGUGAUCGGCCACACUGGGACUGAGACACGGCCCAGACUCCUACGGGAGGCAGCAGUAGGGAAUCUUCCGCAAUGGACGAAAGUCUGACGGAGCAACGCCGCGUGAGUGAUGAAGGCUUUCGGGUCGUAAAACUCUGUUGUUAGGGAAGAACAAGUACAAGAGUAACUGCUUGUACCUUGACGGUACCUAACCAGAAAGCCACGGCUAACUACGUGCCAGCAGCCGCGGUAAUACGUAGGUGGCAAGCGUUAUCCGGAAUUAUUGGGCGUAAAGCGCGCGCAGGCGGUUUCUUAAGUCUGAUGUGAAAGCCCACGGCUCAACCGUGGAGGGUCAUUGGAAACUGGGGAACUUGAGUGCAGAAGAGAAAAGCGGAAUUCCACGUGUAGCGGUGAAAUGCGUAGAGAUGUGGAGGAACACCAGUGGCGAAGGCGGCUUUUUGGUCUGUAACUGACGCUGAGGCGCGAAAGCGUGGGGAGCCAACAGGAUUAGAUACCCUGGUAGUCCACGCCGUAAACGAUGAGUGCUAAGUGUUAGAGGGUUUCCGCCCUUUAGUGCUGCAGCUAACGCAUUAAGC
rnacentral:rRNA from 1 species